AUUGAACGCUGGCGGCAGGCUUAACACAUGCAAGUCGAGCGGGGGAAGGUAGCUUGCUACUGGACCUAGCGGCGGACGGGUGGGUAAUGCUUAGGAAUCUGCCUAUUAGUGGGGGACAACAUCUCGAAAGGGAUGCUAAUACCGCAUACGUCCUACGGGAGGAAGCAGGGGAUCUUCGGACCUUGCGCUAAUAGAUGAGCCUAAGUCGGAUUAGCUAGUUGGUGGGGUAAAGGCCUACCAAGGCGACGAUCUGUAGCGGGUCUGAGAGGAUGAUCCGCCACACUGGGACUGGGACACGGCCCAGACUCCUACGGGAGGCAGCAGUGGGGAAUAUUGGACAAUGGGGGGAACCCUGAUCCAGCCAUGCCGCGUGUGUGAAGAAGGCCUUAUGGUUGUAAAGCACUUUAAGCGAGGAGGAGGCUACUCUAGUUAAUACCUAGGGAUAGUGGACGUUACUCGCAGAAUAAGCACCGGCUAACUCUGUGCCAGCCGCCGCCGUAA
rnacentral:rRNA from 1 species